CCAAUAGCGUAUAUUAAAGUUGUUGCAGUUAAAAAGCUCGUAGUUGAAUUUCGGGGUCAGCGGGUUGGUCGUGCCACUGGUAUGCACUGGCUUUGCUGAUUCCUCCUUCUUGAAGAACUGUUAUGCUAUUAAUUUAGUGUUGCGGGGAAACAGGACUGUUACUUUGAAAAAAUUAGAGUGUUUAAAGCAGGCUAUCGCCUGAAUACAUUAGCAUGGAAUAAUGAAAUAGGACGUUUGAUCCUAUUUUGUUGGUUUCUAGGAUUGACGUAAUGAUUAAUAGGGAUAGUUGGGGGCAUUAGUAUUCAAUUGUCAGAGGUGAAAUUCUUGGAUUUAUUGAAGACUAACUACUGCGAAAGCAUUUGCCAAGGAUGUUUUCAUUAAUCAAGAACGAAAGUUAGGGGAUCGAAGACGAUCAGAUACCGUCGUAGUCUUAACCAUAAACUAUGCCGACUAGGGAUCGGAUGAUGUUAAUUUUUUAAUGACUCAUUCGGCGCCUUACG
rnacentral:rRNA from 1 species